rnacentral:lncRNA from 1 species
ACCAACUCCUGCUUCCUCUCUCCCUAUAAUUUAUCAAUUCCACGAACGGUGUUGUUCGUUUUUUUUGCUUGAUCAGUGAACGGCAUCGAGGUUAGAUUAGCGCCGUCAUGAGUUGAUCACUGUUUUACUUUCGGAUUAGUAAUUUAACAUAGUGAGCUCCUGAGUCCAUUUCAGUGGACUUCUAAUGUGUUCUUUUGCGUAACUCGAUAGCUCUUUCUGUCAGGCUCCACGGUUUUCUGUUCAUGGAACGUUUGAGCAACCUAUUGCUUUUUUUUUAAGAA